CCGGAGUGCUUGCACUUUGGCAGACUGAGUGGCGGACGGGUGAGUAACGCGUGGGUAACCUGCCUUAUACAGGGGGAUAACAGUUGGAAACGACUGCUAAUACCGCAUAAGCGCACGGUAUCGCAUGGUACAGUGUGAAAAACUCCGGUGGUGUGAGAUGGACCCGCGUCUGAUUAGAUAGUUGGUGAGGUAACGGCCCACCAAGUCAACGAUCAGUAGCCGGCCUGAGAGGGUGAACGGCCACAUUGGGACUGAGACACGGCCCAAACUCC
rnacentral:rRNA from 1 species